rnacentral:rRNA from 1 species
UACGAGAGGUGCAAGCGUUAUUCGGAAUCAUUGGGUGUAAAGGGUGCGUAGACGGUAUGCUAAGUCUGUCGUUAAAUCUUUCGGCUUAACCGAAAAUCUGCGAUGGAAACUGGCGUGCUAGAGUGUGAGAGAGAGAAGUGGAAUUCUUGGAGUAGCGGUAAAAUGCGUAGAUCUCAAGAGGAACACCGAUGGCGAAGGCAGCUUCUUGGCUCACUACUGACGUUGAGGCACGAAAGCGUGGGGAGCAAACAGG